rnacentral:tRNA from 1 species
UGGCUCAGACGGUAAAGCGUCUGCCUAUGAUGCAGGAGACCCGGGUUCGAUUCCUGG